rnacentral:ncRNA from 1 species
UGACCUCGGAUCAGGUAGGGAUACCCGCUGAACUUAAGCAUAUCAAUAAGCGGAGGAAAAGAAACCAACCGGGAUUGCCUCAGUAACGGCGAGUGAAGCGGCAAGAGCUCAAAUUUGAAAGCUGGCUCCUUCGGGGUCCGCAUUGUAAUUUGCAGAGGAUGCUUCGGGUGCGGCCCCUGUCUAAGUGCCCUGGAACGGGCCGUCAGAGAGGGUGAGAAUCCCGUCUGGGAUGGGGUGUCCGCGCCCGUGUGAAGCUCCUUCGACGAGUCGAGUUGUUUGGGAAUGCAGCUCUAAAUGGGUGGUAAAUUUCAUCUAAAGCUAAAUACUGGCCGGAGACCGAUAGCGCACAAGUAGAGUGAUCGAAAGAUGAAAAGCACUUUGAAAAGAGAGUUAAAAAGCACGUGAAAUUGUUGAAAGGGAAGCGCUUGCGACCAGACUCGCCUCCAGGGUUCAGCCGGCAUUCGUGCCGGUGUACUUCCCUGGGGGCGGGCCAGCGUCGGUUUGGGCGGCCGGUCAAAGGCUCCCGGAAUGUAGUGCCCUCCGGGGCACCUUAUAGCCGGGAGUG